CAGAAACGUUGCACGGGUUCGUGCUACGCUGACGAGCACUAUUUGCUGAUGUUCGUGAGCAUGAAAUUUGGGAGGAGGAACUCGGGCCGGAGCUUGACAUGGGUUGACUGGUCAAAGGGCGGGCCUCACCCGGCCCGUUUUCAUCGGUCAGAUGUAACUGUUGAGUUCCUGGAGAAGCUAAGGAGUGAGAGUCGUUGUGAAUACAAUGGUGGGAAGACAAGUGUUUGUUACUUGUUUGCAAGGAAGUUUGCCGCUCAUGCUUUGAGUAGACUCUUGAUUUUUGCACCAAAGCUGAAAUUGAUGCAAAGUUUCUCCGUAUGAGAUACGACGCAAAUCGACAAGGCAACCCUGAAUGCAUUUAUUGAUAACGAGCAACCACCAAUAGCUGUCAAUGCUACCGUUGAUUAUGAUGCAGUGAUUUUAGUAGACGUUCAGGAGUAGAUUUGUAGACAGAACAAUUUAUGUUUUAAGUUUUUUUUUUUUCUCCAACUUUUUUUUUGAUGUAUAACAUCACUGUUGCGACAUUAUUUUUAUGAAGAUUUUAGAAGAAGUUUUAUGUA